UACGAAGGGGGGCUAGCGUUGUUCGGAUUUACUGGGCGUAAAGCGCACGUAGGCGGAUACUUAAGUCAGGGGUGAAAUCCUGGAGCUCAACUCCAGAACUGCCUUUGAUACUGGGUAUCUCGAGUCCGGAAGAGGUGAGUGGAACUCCUAGUGUAGAGGUGGAAUUCGUAGAUAUUAGGAAGAACACCAGUGGCGAAGGCGGCUCACUGGUCCGGUACUGACGCUGAGGUGGCGAAAGCGUGGGGAGCAAACAGG
rnacentral:rRNA from 1 species